rnacentral:rRNA from 1 species
CGUGUAGGCGGUGUGGUAAGUCGGAUGUGAAAUCUCUAGGCUCAACCUGGAAACUGCAUUCGAAACUGCCAUGCUUGAGUACCGGAGAGGGAAACGGAAUUCCUGGUGUAGGGGUGAAAUCUGUAGAUAUCAGGAAGAACACCGGUGGCGAAGGCGGUUUCCUGGCCGGAUACUGACGCUGAGGCGCGAAAGCUAGGGGAGCAAACA